GAUGAAGAACGUAGCGAAAUGCGAUAAGUAAUGUGAAUUGCAGAAUUCAGUGAAUCAUCGAAUCUUUGAACGCACAUUGCGCCCCUUGGUAUUCCGGGGGGCAUGCCUGUUCGAGCGUCAUUAUAACCCCUCAAGCUCAGCUUGGUGUUGGGGCCUGCCGACUGGCAGCCCUUAAAAUCAGUGGCGGCGCCAUCUGGCUCUAAGCGUAGUAAUUUCUCUCGCUAUAGAGUCCCGGUGGAUGCUUGCCAGCAACCCCCAACUUUCUAUGGUUGACCUCGGAUCAGGUAGGGAUACCCGCUGAACUUAAGCAUAUCAACAAGCGGAGGA
rnacentral:misc_RNA from 1 species